UGGGGAAUAUUGCACAAUGGGCGAAAGCCUGAUGCAGCGACGCCGCGUGAGGGAUGACGGCCUUCGGGUUGUAAACCUCUUUCAGCAGGGACGAAGCGCAAGUGACGGUACCUGCAGAAGAAGCACCGGCUAACUACGUGCCAGCAGCCGCGGUAAUACGUAGGGUGCAAGCGUUGUCCGGAAUUACUGGGCGUAAAGAGUUCGUAGGCGGUUUGUCGCGUCGUUUGUGAAAACCAGCAGCUCAACUGCUGGCUUGCAGGCGAUACGGGCAGACUUGAGUACUGCAGGGGAGACUGGAAUUCCUGGUGUAGCGGUGAAAUGCGCAGAUAUCAGGAGGAACACCGGUGGCGAAGGCGGGUCUCUGGGCAGUAACUGACGCUGAGGAACGAAAGCGUGGGUAGCGAACAGGAUUAGAUACC
rnacentral:rRNA from 1 species